rnacentral:tRNA from 1 species
AGUUAUUUAGCUUAUUAAAAGCUUGUAUUUUGAAAAUACAUGAUAGGUCUUGACUUAUUAACUU